rnacentral:rRNA from 1 species
AUUAGAGUUUGAUCCUGGCUCAGAUUGAACGCUAGCGGGAUGCUUUACACAUGCAAGUCGAACGGCAGCGCGAGAGAGCUUGCUCUCUUGGCGGCGAGUGGCGGACGGGUGAGUAAUAUAUCGGAACGUGCCCAGUAGCGGGGGAUAACUACUCGAAAGAGUGGCUAAUACCGCAUACGCCCUACGGGGGAAAGGGGGGGAUCGCAAGACCUCUCACUAUUGGAGCGGCCGAUAUCGGAUUAGCUAGUUGGUGGGGUAAAGGCUCACCAAGGCAACGAUCCGUAGCUGGUUUGAGAGGACGACCAGCCACACUGGGACUGAGACACGGCCCAGACUCCUACGGGAGGCAGCAGUGGGGAAUUUUGGACAAUGGGGGAAACCCUGAUCCAGCCAUCCCGCGUGUAUGAUGAAGGCCUUCGGGUUGUAAAGUACUUUUGGCAGAGAAGAAAAGGUACCUCCUAAUACGAGGUACUGCUGACGGUAUCUGCAGAAUAAGCACCGGCUAACUACGUGCCAGCAGCCGCGGUAAUACGUAGGGUGCAAGCGUUAAUCGGAAUUACUGGGCGUAAAGCGUGUGUAGGCGGUUCGGAAAGAAAGAUGUGAAAUCCCAGGGCUCAACCUUGGAACUGCAUUUUUAACUGCCGAGCUAGAGUAUGUCAGAGGGGGGUAGAAUUCCACGUGUAGCAGUGAAAUGCGUAGAUAUGUGGAGGAAUACCGAUGGCGAAGGCAGCCCCCUGGGAUAAUACUGACGCUCAGACACGAAAGCGUGGGGAGCAAACAGGAUUAGAUACCCUGGUAGUCCACGCCCUAAACGAUGUCAACUAGCUGUUGGGGCCGUUAGGCCUUAGUAGCGCAGCUAACGCGUGAAGUUGACCGCCUGGGGAGUACGGUCGCAAGAUUAAAACUCAAAGGAAUUGACGGGGACCCGCACAAGCGGUGGAUGAUGUGGAUUAAUUCGAUGCAACGCGAAAAACCUUACCUACCCUUGACAUGUCUGGAAAGCCGAAGAGAUUUGGCCGUGCUCGCAAGAGAACCGGAACACAGGUGCUGCAUGGCUGUCGUCAGCUCGUGUCGUGAGAUGUUGGGUUAAGUCCCGCAACGAGCGCAACCCUUGUCAUUAGUUGCUACGCAAGAGCACUCUAAUGAGACUGCCGGUGACAAACCGGAGGAAGGUGGGGAUGACGUCAAGUCCUCAUGGCCCUUAUGGGUAGGGCUUCACACGUCAUACAAUGGUCGGGACAGAGGGUCGCCAACCCGCGAGGGGGAGCCAAUCUCAGAAACCCGAUCGUAGUCCGGAUCGCAGUCUGCAACUCGACUGCGUGAAGUCGGAAUCGCUAGUAAUCGCGGAUCAGAAUGUCGCGGUGAAUACGUUCCCGGGUCUUGUACACACCGCCCGUCACACCAUGGGAGUGGGUUUCACCAGAAGUAGGUAGCCUAACCGUAAGGAGGGCGCUUACCACGGUGGGAUUCAUGACUGGGGUGAAGUCGUAACAAGGUAGCCGUAUCGGAAGGUGCGGCUGGAUCACCUCCUUAAUC